rnacentral:rRNA from 1 species
UGGGGAAUAUUGCACAAUGGGGGAAACCCUGAUGCAGCGACGCCGCGUGAGCGAAGAAGGUUUUCGAAUCGUAAAGCUCUGUCCUAUGAGAAGAUAAUGACGGUAUCAUAGGAGGAAGCCCCGGCUAAAUACGUGCCAGCAGCCGCGGUAAUACGUAUGGGGCGAGCGUUGUCCGGAAUUAUUGGGCGUAAAGGGUACGUAGGCGGUCUAUUAAGUCAGGUGUGAAAGCGUGAGGCUUAACCUCAUUAAGCACUUGAAACUGAUAGACUUGAGUGAAGGAGAGGAAAGUGGAAUUCCUAGUGUAGCGGUGAAAUGCUUAGAUAUUAGGAGGAACACCGGUGGCGAAAGCGGCUUUUUGGCCUGCAACUGACACUGAGGCGCGAAAGCGUGGGGAGCAAACAGG